rnacentral:lncRNA from 1 species
AGCUCUACUCUAUAAAGGCAUUCGAGAAUGAUCAAUAAUAUCUCUUUCUACCUUCUCACCUCUCUCUCUCUCUCUCUCUCUUUCUCACCCCUAUCUCUAGUUCUUUCCUCAUCACCUUUCUAAUUCUUCCCUCAUCUAAGUGUAUUCUCCUUCUAAUCCCCAAUUCUUCUUCUUUUCUCAUCUCUAUUUUCUAUUCCCAGCCAUUGUGCUAACACUGUACUACCCCUAUCUAUAACAAACUUCUAUCUAUAACAACCCCUAUAAAAUCCAUACAGCUAUAGUAUUUUCCCACCCAAAGUCUUUAUGUAUUUUAUUUCCUCUUAUUUAUAUAUUUCUUCUUAUAAUACGUGACAAUAUCUUUUGACCUUUUUUCUUAAUUCAAUAAAAGAUUCAAAUGUUCAACAUUCCAUAAUUUAAAACUAAAAUGUUUGAUUGGGAAGUAUUUAAAAGGGGAUUGUAAGUGUACUUCAGUUUAUUUGGAAUGAAAAC